UUUAAAGGUAUUUUUUUCUCAGCACAUGAAUGGACAUAAAAUGUCUCCGAUUAUCGGAAAGAUUCUGCUUCAACAUCACCAAAUUCAGAGAUACGUGGUUUUUACUGGAUUGGAAAUGUAUUUUAAAAAUGUAAUGUUUAAAAGUAACUAGUAACUAAAGCUGUCAGAUAAAUGUUGAGGAGUAAAGAGUACAAUACAAUAGCACAAAAUGGAAAUACUCAAGUUUAAAUAACUUAAAUUUGUACACAAAUACAGUACUUGAAUGUACGUAGUUACAUUCUAUAACAACAAUCCCAGUUGGAGUCACAUUUUUGCUCACCUGAUGAAAUCCAACAGUGUUUUUUCUUUUAGCUCUGGUUUAGUCUCAACAAACUUUCGUGUUAAAGUAUAUUCACUAUGAGAUAUUCAAGUCUCUUCACCAGCUGAUCCAUACAGAUACCAACAGCACACCAGCACUUCUGUUUUUGUGCGUACAUGCGAGUACAACACAGGCAAUGCCCUCUGGCUGAGACGCUAUGAAAAAGUGCAUCAUUAUCUCCACGCUUAAAUGAUUAUGGCGUCUCCCUCCUCUGUGGUACAGCUGGAUGUUCUUCCCGCCUUCCAUUGUGGCACUUCGGCGCAGCCAUUAACACUUCUGACGAGCCAGAUGACACGUUGUAUUAACAUGUGGUGUGUCCUCUUCAUAAGCUGCCUCCUUCAGGCCAUAUGCUACAUUUCUUCUCUCCACUAGUGAGCGCUGUGUAAUCUGCAACAGAUCUGGACAAACACCGAGCGUAGACUGCUGGAUGCUGGGCUGAUGCUUCUCCUCAAGCUCACUGACGGGCUGACACACAGUCGGAUCUUCAUUCACUCCUGCAGGACUUUCUUCCCUCCCCCCUUCACCCAGUCCGACGAGGGAGGGCAGAUGUAUAGCCAACAGGACACAGCCACAACUUUGCCUCGAGCGCUGACCUCCUCCGAUGACAACCAUAUGCUCCGCUAUUGAAUAUGUAUGGCUGCGGGAAGAGGCUCGA